GACGAACGCUGGCGGCGUGCUUAACACAUGCAAGUCGAACGGUGAUCUUGAGAGCUUGCUCUUGGGUGAUCAGUGGCGAACGGGUGAGUAACACGUGAGUAACCUGCCCCUGACUCUGGAAUAACUUCGGGAAACCGAAGCUAAUACCGGAUAUGACACAGAGCCGCAUGGUUUCUGUGUGGAAAGUUUUUUCGGUUGGGGAUGGACUCGCGGCCUAUCAGCUUGUUGGUGAGGUAAUGGCUCACCAAGGCGACGACGGGUAGCCGGCCUGAGAGGGCGACCGGCCACACUGGGACUGAGACACGGCCCAGACUCCUACGGGAGGCAGCAGUGGGGAAUAUUGCACAAUGGGCG
rnacentral:rRNA from 1 species